UUCUGCCAAGGACGACCGGUCCGCCUUCGGGUGUGUACCUGCGUUGACCGAGGCAUCUUUCUAGCUGGACGCCUGCACUUAAUUGUACAGAACGUACUCUAGAACUUUUACUUUGAGGAAAUUAGAGUGUUUCAAGCAGGCAUAUGCCUUGAAUACAUUAGCAUGGAAUAAUAAGGUAGGACUCCGGUUCUAUUUUGUUGGUUUCUAGAACAGGAGUAAUGAUUAAUAGGGACAGUCGGGGGCAUUCGUACUCAACUGUCAGAGGUGAAAUUC
rnacentral:rRNA from 1 species